rnacentral:rRNA from 1 species
GACGUAGGGCGCGAGCGUUGUCCGGAUUUAUUGGGCGUAAAGAGCUCGUAGGCGGUCUGUCGCGUCUGCUGUGAAAACUCAGGGCUUAACCCUGAGCUUGCAGUGGGUACGGGCAGACUAGAGUGCGGUAGGGGAGACUGGAAUUCCUGGUGUAGCGGUGGAAUGCGCAGAUAUCAGGAGGAACACCGAUGGCGAAGGCAGGUCUCUGGGCCGCAACUGACGCUGAGGAGCGAAAGCGUGGGGAGCGAACAGG